GGCCUCUGACGCCUAGAGAGGCUGGUUGCUAGGGCAUCAUUGCCCCUUUUAAUCCGCGGGUUGUGGGUUCGAGUCCCACGGGGCCCACCA
rnacentral:tRNA from 1 species